AUGUGCACAGACACACACCACACACUGUACAUGCUCCUGUGCACAGAUAUACACCACACACUGUACACGCUCCUGUGCACAGAUACACACCACACACAGCAUGUGCUCCUGUGCACACACACACCACACACAGCAGGUGCUCCUGUGCACACACACACACCACACACAGCAGGUGCUCCUGUGCACACACACACCACACACUGCAGGUGCUCCUGUGCACACACACCACACACAGCAGGUGCCCCUGUGCAUGCACACACCACACACAGCAGGUGCCCCUGUGCACACACACACCACACACAGCAGGUGCUCCUGUGCACACACACACCACACACAGCAGGUGCUCCUGUGCACACACACACCACACACAGGACGUGCUCACGUGCACACACACUUCACACACGUGUACAUGCGUGUCCCCAGCACUGUGCCAGUCCCAGCAGCCCCACAGGAGUGGUCUUCAGAGCAGCAAUGCUCAGUGGGCAGCAGGUCAAUGGGCUGCCUGUUGGGUGCUCCAGGGGUCUGGGGUCUCCCUCAGCCCACUGUGAAUGGAGGGGCUGGGUGAGCAGGCGCGGACCACCAAGGGAGGGCAGGUCUUCAGGGUGUCCUGGGCUGAGCCGGUGUCUCACCCAUAACCGACGUGCCAGGAGCAGCCAGGGCCUUCUCCCCAAGGUCAUUCACCUCCGGCACCUGCAGCCUCAGGAGUCUGGUUCUGAAGACGCUGGGGUUGGGGGAGCCGAGACAGCAGCCCCUCCCACGAUGAGGAAAGUACGCCGUGUGCAAACCUGGAGACGAGUGUACAGCCUGCGCAGGACGACCCCGCUGCUGACAGUCAGAGGGAUCAGCUCCACCCAGACAAGCCAGGGCUGCACAGCUGCGGGCUCUGUGGCAACUCUUGCCUUGAGGAUUCGUGCAAGUGCACAGAGGAGCCUCUGGGGCAAGGUCAUUACCUUCGAGCUGGACACAAAACUGGAAGAAACGGCUCGUGUUAGGAAGAAGCGCUGCUGCUGA
rnacentral:lncRNA from 1 species